AAGUAAAGAGCGAAAUAUUGCAUUCAGUUUCGGCCUGAAUUUUGGUGUUAACUCACCUAAACUUA
rnacentral:tRNA from 1 species